GGUGUCGACUCCAAUGCGGACGGAACAAAAACAUUGUGGUUUCUCACCGGGGGCGGAAUGUUGUUCCAACAGCGGGACGCAGAAUAUUUAAAGCUUCCUCGGAAAGCGGCUGAGGCAUGGCGCGGCGUCAACAGAUGAAUCCCACAAUCACGGCGUUCGCGGAGCUUGAUGCAAGAUAGCUUGUUGAAGAGAUAUGAAGGAGUUUUAUAGUUCAGUACGCCAAAGAGCAAACAAGCCAAGUGUAGUUUACGGCGGUGUUGCAUUUUGAGGAUACUAUGGCUAUUCAGAUAUGGGGUCACAUGAGCUCUCAACGGAAUAUUGAAACAGAAGCGAGCACAGGCAUUUUGAACACGCUGUAUGAGUCGUUUAGUUUUUGCAAGUAGUCUUGGCCCAAACACAACAU